rnacentral:ribozyme from 1 species
UCUUCUUCUUCUUCUUCUUCUCUUGAAGAGGAUGACCCAGACAGAGAACUUCCUUACUACGAUCGUGAAUUUGCUGGCCAAACUCACUACAAUUUUGGGGGAGAA